ACGGGUGAGUAACACGUAGGUAACCUGCCUGCAAGACCGGGAUAACAUUCGGAAACGAAUGCUAAUACCGGAUACGCGAAUCUCUCGCAUGGGAGAAUCGGGAAAGACGGAGCAAUCUGUCACUUGCAGAUGGACCUGCGGCGCAUUAGCUAGUUGGUGAGGUAAUGGCUCACCAAGGCGACGAUGCGUAGCCGACCUGAGAGGGUGAUCGGCCACACUGGGACUGAGACACGGCCCAGACUCCUACGGGAGGCAGCAGUAGGGAAUCUUCCGCAAUGGACGAAAGUCUGACGGAGCAACGCCGCGUGAGUGAUGAAGGUUUUCGGAUCGUAAAGCUCUGUUGCCAGGGAAGAACGCUAUGGAGAGUAACUGCUCCAUAGGUGACGGUACCUGAGAAGAAAGCCCCGGCUAACUACGUGCCAGCAGCCGCGGUAAUACGUAGGGGGCAAGCGUUGUCCGGAAUUAUUGGGCGUAAAGCGCGCGCAGGCGGCUAAUUAAGUCUGGUGUUUAAUCCCGGAGCUCAACUCCGGGUCGCACGGGAAACUGGUUGGCUUGAGUGCAGAAGAGGAAAGUGGAAUUCCACGUG
rnacentral:rRNA from 1 species